rnacentral:tRNA from 1 species
GAGGAUCGCUCAAUGGUAGGGUGCACGCUUAGCAUGCAUGAGGUCCUGGGUUCAAUCCCCAGGGCCCUCU